GGGCGGCUAGCUCAGUUGGUUAGAGCGUCACAUUGACAUUGUGAAGGUCAGAGGUUCGAAUCCUCUGCCGCCCA
rfam:Parcubacteria (Thrbacteria) bacterium GW2011_GWA2_52_8d TY76_C0015, whole genome shotgun sequence.